GACGAACGCUGGCGGCGUGGAUUAGGCAUGCAAGUCGAACGGUAGGAUACCUUCGGGUAUCUGAGAGUGGCGAACGGGUGAGUAACACGUAGGUGAUCUACCCUCAAGAUUGGGACAACCCAGGGAAACUUGGGCUAAUACCGGAUGAAAGCAGCAGUGAUGUUGUUUGAAAGGUGGCGUAAGCUGCCGUUUGGGGAUGAGCCUGCGCUCUAUUAGUUAGUUGGCGGGGUAAAGGCCCACCAAGGCGAUGAUAGAUAGGCGGCCUUAACGGGUGGUCGCCCACACUGGGAUUGAGAUACGGCCCAGACUCCUACGGGAGGCAGCAGUCGAGAAUAGUCUACAAUGGCCGAAAGGCUGAUAGUGCGACGCCGCGUGAACGAGGAAGCCCUUCGGGUGUAAAGUUCUUUUAUAUGUGAGCAGUGCUUUCUAUGUGAACAGCAUGGGGAGAGAGAUAUUAGCAUAUGAAUAAGCAACGGCUAACUCCGUGCCAGC
rnacentral:rRNA from 1 species